UCUAGGCCACUAGAGAAGACUGACGAAGAUGGCACCGCUGUCGCUGUCAACUAAAAAGUUCCUAGCCGAGUAACAAGCAAUGGCUCGAAAUAAAUAAUGCGCGCACAUCGGUGCACGUGUCCCCUGGGUGCUUUUCGACGAGGGGAUGAGUAACGUUCAUAGGGACUCGGUGAUGAAUCGUGGUCGGUUUCGCAAAGCGAUCACAUCGAUCCUGGCAAGUGGAACAAGACUGGUUCGAGAAUUAAACCACUGUGAAAAGUCGGUGAAAAUGGAAAAAGAAAACGCAAUCUUGGCUUCACUUGGCUCCUACCAUACUGAAUUUAUCCGACACUUUAUUACUGGAAAAUAUAAAAUGAAUUAAAGCUGAAUGGUUUAUAUAUAAUUCUAACUUUUUCAUUGCAUCAAACGAAAUGGUGGAUCGAAAGAGGCAACGAAAUAAGUUUUCUCCUCGCAUUUAUGAAAAUACGAACGCGCAAAAAAUUCGAUGGGAUUCGAUGGUCGAAUAGGUUAAAAGUGUGUCCGGCUAUUUUCGACGGAAAAAUUUGACGGCUGUGGUCGAAACUUUCGGAUCUUUUUACACAGUAUUGGUUUUAUUUAAUGUCGAAGAGGGACUCUGAGUAUCAUUUUAAAACCAUAAUGAUAAAAAUGGUAACGAUAAAACUGAAACUGAAAACCUUUUCUUUUAUCGAACCAACCAUUAUGAUGUGAUUUGUGGAUUAUGCAACAGAAUUGACAGAAUUAUUACAUGAAUAAAUAAAUACGAUAUUACGUUGAAAAUAACGUAAAAUAUAACUAUGUUUAAAUAUGUUUUCUAGCGAAGUAAGUAAACUAUUUAACGUGUAAUAAAGUGUUUCGU